rnacentral:lncRNA from 1 species
GCAUCCCGACAUUGGUUUACAUUUCUCUUGACUGAGAAUGGUGCCACGUGUGGUCUGUAAGUAGAUCCUGCAGCUCCUGAAAGGCAAGCUGGUGGUGGGUCAUGACCUGAAGCACGACUUCCAGGCACUGAAAGAGGACAUGAGCGGCUACACAAUCUACGACACGUCCACUGACAGGCUGUUGUGGCGUGAGGCCAAGCUGGACCACUGCAGGCGUGUCUCCCUGCGGGUGCUGAGUGAGCGCCUCCUACACAAGAGCAUCCAGAACAGCCUGCUUGGACACAGCUCGGUGGAAGAUGCGAGGGCAACGAUGGAGCUCUAUCAAAUCUCCCAGAGAAUCCGAGCCCGCCGAGGGCUGCCCCGCCUGGCUGUGUCAGACUGAAGCCCCAUCCAGCCCGUUCCGCAGGGACUAGAGGCUUUCGGCUUUUUGGGACAGCAACUACCUUGCUUUUGGAAAAUACAUUUUUAAUAGUAAAGUGGCUCUAUAUUUUCUCUACGCCAUCACUGGGUCCUCUUCUUAUUCUUCUCUCCAAGCUGGGUUAACAGUAGACAGGACCCAUUUCUGUGUGAUGUUAGGAGGGAAUGAAGUCUUAUGCUGGGGAGGUGGGCAAGUAUCAAUUUCCUUAAUAUCUUGAAUCCUGUGGGUCCAAAAUGUGGCUUGGAAAUCUAAGUAGCAUGUGGCUUAAUUACUAAUCCCACCCUUUGCUGUUGCAUCCCAGCCCUAUUCCUGGUGCAUUUAUGCCCAGAGAGGUGGCAUUAUUUCCUGGGGUGGCAUUCAGCUCCUCUUGAGUUGGUGCCACAGCAUUUGUGGGCUUUGAAGCAAAGGUACAGGAAAUGUCAAGGGUGCCACCCCGGCAACCUUGAGCAAGUCACCCCUCCUAUUUGUAAAAUGAGGAAGGAAAGGUAACAAACUGUGGAGUCAGAGAGAAGUAGGUUGGAAUCCUCUUUGUCAUUUAGUAGCUGUUUGACCUAAGGUGGUUUACUGAACUUCUCAGUUUCUCCAUCUGUAAAAUGAGAAUUCUAGCAACUCGUAGGGUAUUUGUGAGAUGUUGCAGGCAAAGCCCCCAGCACCAUGCCUGUCCUAGCUUAAGCACCCACCAGGUGUCGAUAAGUAAUUGUUCUUCCCUGGACUGCCUGCACAUCUAGGGCACCCCAGGAAGAGUCACCGCACUCUGUUUCGGGGCUCGGCUCUCUG